rfam:Hordeum vulgare subsp. vulgare, WGS project CAJW01000000 data, contig: morex_contig_1561120
AAAAUACUCACCCCGUCCGGAAUUACUUGCCACAAAAAUGAAUAGAAAUGGAUGUAUUUAGAACUAAAAUGCAUCUAGAUACAUCCAUUCCUCCAACAAGUAUUUCCGGACGGAGGGAGUAGUAA